rnacentral:rRNA from 1 species
ACUCCUACGGGAGGCAGCAGUGGGGAAUAUUGGACAAUGGGCGCAAGCCUGAUCCAGCCAUGCCGCGUGAGUGAUGAAGGCCCUAGGGUUGUAAAGCUCUUUCACCGGAGAAGAUAAUGACGGUAUCCGGAGAAGAAGCCCCGGCUAACUUCGUGCCAGCAGCCGCGGUAAUACGAAGGGGGCUAGCGUUGUUCGGAAUUACUGGGCGUAAAGCGCACGUAGGCGGAUCGAUCAGUCAGGGGUGAAAUCCCAGGGCUCAACCCUGGAACUGCCUUUGAUACUGUCGAUCUGGAGUAUGGAAGAGGUGAGUGGAAUUCCGAGUGUAGAGGUGAAAUUCGUAGAUAUUCGGAGGAACACCAGUGGCGAAGGCGGCUCACUGGUCCAUUACUGACGCUGAGGUGCGAAAGCGUGGUGAGCAAACAGGAUUAGAUACCCCAGUAGUCCCAUGAU